rnacentral:rRNA from 1 species
AUUGAACGCUGGCGGCAUGCCUUACACGUGCAAGUCGAACGGUAACAGGUCUUCGGAUGCUGACGAGUGGCGAACGGGUGAGUAAUACAUCGGAACGUGCCUAGUAGUGGGGGAUAACUACUCGAAAGAGUGGCUAAUACCGCAUGAGAUCUACGGAUGAAAGCAGGGGAUCGCAAGACCUUGUGCUACUAGAGCGGCCGAGGGCAGAUUAGGUAGUUGGUGGGAUAUAAGCUUACCAAGCCGACGAUCUGUAGCUGGUCUGAGAGGACGAUCAGCCACACUGGGACUGAGACACGGCCCAGACUCCUACGGGAGGCAGCAGUGGGGAAUUUUGGACAAUGGGCGCAAGCCUGAUCCAGCAAUGCCGCGUGCAGGAUGAAGGCCUUCGGGUUGUAAACUGCUUUUGUACGGAACGAAAAGCCCUGGGUUAAUACCCUGGGGUCAUGACGGUACCGUAAGAAUAAGCACCGGCUAACUACGUGCCAGCCGCCGCCGUAA